GAGUUUGAUCGUGGCUCAGAUUGAACGCUGGCGGCAUGCCUUACACAUGCAAGUCGAACGGCAGCAUGAUCUAGCUUGCUAGAUUGAUGGCGAGUGGCGAACGGGUGAGUAAUACAUCGGAACGUGCCCUGUAGUGGGGAGUAACUAGUCGAAGAUUAGCUAAUACCGCAUACGACCUGAGGGUGGAAAGUAGGGGGACCGGCAAGGCCUCAUGCUAUAGGAGCGGCCGAUGUCUGAUUAGCUAGUUGGUGGGGUAAAGGCCCGACCAAGGCGACGAUCAGUAGCUGGUCUGAGAGGACGAUCAGCCACACUGGGACUGAGACACGGCCCAGACUCCUACGGGAGGCAGCAGUGGGGAAUUUUGGACAAUGGGCGAAAGCCUGAUCCAGCAAUGCCGCGUGUGUG
rnacentral:rRNA from 1 species